GCUCGCGUGGCGGAAUGGCAGACGCAGCGGACUUAAAAUCCGCAGGGAAACCGUACCGGUUCAAGUCCGGUCGCGAGCACCA
rnacentral:tRNA from 1 species